UUAAAUGCUUUAUUUGAUUCACUUGACUUAUUUAAACUUAAUAGUAUUAAAAUGUUGCUGUCAAUUUAUGACAAUUAAUCUUAAUAUUUUGGUACUGUGUGAUAACAUUAGCCUGCAGUAAUAUACUUUCCUGUGUGAUUUAUUAGGUCCCCAUUCAACAGUUUAAAAGCACCAUGAACAAUGAAUUGCAUAAACUACAAUAAAGAGUAACUGUGAAGCAUGUUGACCUAUUCUUUUAGGAAAGCUAUAUGGAUGUAUUUGGUUGGCUGGCCUAACAUUUUUCCCUCUUUCUCUCUUUCCAGUGAUAUGGCAGUGUAAGGGGUGUUCCGUUGCAGUAGCUAGUAGGUCUUUACUUCUUAAUCAUUAUAAGCUCAAGCAUCCACAUUUUGGGCGCACCAUCCACUAUCCAUGUACAUUUAAGACUUGGAAUGCCUUAAUUGUACACAAAAGUAGAGUUCAUUCAACACAAGUUAGUCGGACUCCAAAAGAGUUGGUUACUUUCAGCUGUCACUUAUGUAGAUGCAAAUGUCUAUCUAAUGAAAGGGAAUACUUUAUUAAUAUCAACAUACAUCUGAGGAGAAAUGAAAUUGUCUCUGACAUGUUUGUUGGCUGUACUUUUCAAACCAAUAUUUAUGGAACGUUUAUGUCUCAUAAGAGAAGCCGACACACACCUCAUAACCUAACUGAUUUUAUUCCUGGUAUUGUGUUAACGACUACAUUAGCAUCACCAUCAUUACAUGAUUCUUCAGCUGAUUGCCAGGAUGAGGAGUUUGUGGAAGAGGAAGUUUCUGUUGCACCCCUAGAUAAAUGCAGAAUUUAAGCGCAUUACCACCAUGCCUCUGCAAUCCAGAUUUCUGACACAGCUGGAUGUAAGAUCUGACAAACUUCUAAAGCUGUUCGAAAAACGAGGAGGACAGAUAGGCAAGCGUCUUGAGAGAACUUUGGCCCCCAUGACUCAAGAAGAUUACGUUGAUGCAGGGCGGGAAUGUGUUCUCAAGUGGCUGUGUGUGUACCUCAACGAAGACCCAGCAAAUCUUGUCAGGGAGUUCGUGGCAGAAGACGAAGCCGCCAUCAAAGAAUCGAUUGAGGACACCACGGUGGGAAUAUUUGUCGUGAAAAAUGAUGCAACCAGUGGUCCAGAGGACGUGGGGAUUGUCCUGGAAGGCCUGCAGAUAAUGCAAGGACUGGACAACACUGCAUUAGCUGCUGCCAUAUUGUUUGGCCUAAUGUAUGUAUUGAACCUCAACUACCCUCCUGAGCUAAAGAACAUGUUUGAAGUGCGCCAAAAAGUUGUGAUGGAGCUGGACGGCACCACGCUCUCAAAGAAAGCCCAAGUUCUCAAAAACAGACUGAGUGAGCUGUUGUCCUAACCCUGCUCAUUGACUUGAUUCUGGACUGUACACAUGCAACUUUGCGGUUCUUUGUUCUUGUUCUUGCAGUAUUUACAUACAGCAUGUCUACUGUACUAUCAAAUGAAUGUUUUCUCUGGAGCUCAUGCGUUCCCAAAAUGUGACUCGGAUUUGCUGUUUUCUCUUAAAGUAAUAGAGCUGCUGAAUGAGCAGUUGCCAUGGACUAUGUUUGCUCUGUGAAUGCACUUGUCUUUUGACAUGCACUCAUGCAGCUUUAGUUUUUCCUUCAUUCUUUUGGCAGUACUUAGAUUCUUGGAAGAAUUACAUUUUUCGUAGUAUUAAUGAUGUUUGUCUAGGUCUACUCAUUGUUUGUUGUGCGGUGAUUCAUUCAAAACACUGGCAGUACUUUUUUAUUUUAUUAUUUUAUUAGAAUUUUAUGCAAAGUAAAAAAAAACAUAAUGCAACCUAACAUGUUUUGGGAUUUCAGUGUUAAAAAUGUCUAGUGUUUUCCAAAAAUGUCCAAACUAUUGCUAUUUGAAGGUGGAGUCAGCGAUUAAGGGGAAUUCUUGUUGUCAAAAUCAGUGAAUAUCUCAUGAUGCACUACCUGUCCGUACUUAUGUGCUAUAAAUCCUUUGUUAGUGCUCAGCCUCUGUAAACCAAGGACCUAUGGACAUGCAAUUUGUAGGCAGGACAAGCAUUCUCCAGAGUCAGCUCUAAGUUUUACAUGCCUAACACUGGCUGUGCUAUUUUAUUUUAUUUCAUUUUAAUCGACCAAAGUAAUGGGAUUUCAGUGUUAAAUGUUGUAUUGGGAUUUCAAGCUUUGGGAUUUCAGUGUUAAAUGUAGUAUUUGAAAGAAAUACAAUAGAAAGUUGGUUAUUUGUGCCUUAUUUAGUCUCAUACUUACUUGAGCAGUAAGUAUGAGACUAAACAUUUAGUCUCAUACUUUUUCAACUUUUUUUUUACAUGUUUUGAAAGAUGAAUCACAUUAUUUUCUGUCUAUAUACUGUUAUAUUACAUCAAAUAUAAAUUAUUUUACAACCUUUUUCCAUUAAAAACCAGCUAAGAACAGCAAAUUUCUGUCCAUUUAAUCAGUAUUAUU